AGGUUUUCUCUGGACCAACCACGAGGCAACGUCUGAGUUUGCGCGCCCAGCAGGUCGGAAUUUGGAAUCGCUGCGAGAGGCCCCCAAUUCCGGUAUGCUCGAGACCACAUAAGCCACGAACAGGAGAAUACACAAAGCGCCCAAACAAGACACGAAAAAGUCUCCUAGUGUUUUUUUGCAUUGCCCCUCUCUGGUAUGCUAGUGUUUGUUUGGCAACUAUAAUUUUUUUUAAUUUGUGUGUGUGUGUGUGUGUGUGUGAUUUUCGUACGAUCCCCUGAGCGCUCUCGUUCAUGCCCACCCGGACAGAGAACCCGCCGGAUGCCUGCUGUCGCGAGCACAACUUUCGCGGUGCAAACGACUUGGCUGCGGUGGGGGGGGCGUUUGGAGGACUCGCAGGAAAAACGGCCCCUGAAGGCGUCUUGAGUUAACUUGGCCGGCAGCGGAUUUCAAUCUGUCAAUUUUUGAUGGGAUAAACGCGCUUUGGUCCUCAGGC
rnacentral:lncRNA from 1 species